ACCGGGGAGGGUCAUUUGGAAACUGGGGAACUUUGAGUUGCAGAAGAGGAGAGUGGAAUUCCACGUGUAGCGGUGAAAUUGCGUAGAGAUGUGGAGGAACACCAGUGGCGAAGGCGACUCUCUGGUCUGUAACUGACGCUGAGGAGCGAAAGCGUGGGGAGCGAACAGGAUUAGAUACCCUGGUAGUCCACGCCGUAAACGAUGAGUGCUAAGUGUUAGGGGGUUUCCGCCCCUUAGUGCUGCAGCUAACGCAUUAAGCACUCCGCCUGGGGAGUACGGUCGCAAGACUGAAACUCAAAGGAAUUGACGGGGGCCCGCACAAGCGGUGGAGCAUGUGGUUUAAUUCGAAGCAACGCGAAGAACCUUACCAGGUCUUGACAUCCUCUGACAAUCCUAGAGAUAGGACGUCCCCUUCGGGGGCAGAGUGACAGGUGGUGCAUGGUUGUCGUCAGCUCGUGUCGUGAGAUGUUGGGUUAAGUCCCGCAACGAGCGCAACCCUUGAUCUUAGUUGCCAGCAUUCAGUUGGGCACUCUAAGGUGACUGCCGGUGACAAACCGGAGGAAGGUGGGGAUGACGUCAAAUCAUCAUGCCCCUUAUGACCUGUGCUACACACGUGCUACUAUGGACAGAACACAGGGCAGCGAAACCGCGAGGUUAAGCCAAUCCCACAUAUCUGUUCUCAGUUCGGAUCGCAGUCUGCAACUCGACUGCGUGAAGCUGGAAUCGCUAGUAAU
rnacentral:rRNA from 1 species